AUUGAACGCUGGCGGCAUGCCUUACACAUGCAAGUCGAACGGUAACGGGCCUUCGGGUGCCGGCGAGUGGCGAACGGGUGAGUAAUGUAUCGGAACGUACCUUUCAGUGGGGGAUAACGUAGCGAAAGUUACGCUAAUACCGCAUAUUCUGUGAGCAGGAAAGCAGGGGAUCGCAAGACCUUGCGCUGAUUGAGCGGCCGAUAUCAGAUUAGCUAGUUGGUGAGGUAAAGGCCCACCAAGGCGACGAUCUGUAGCGGGUCUGAGAGGAUGAUCCGCCACACUGGAACUGAGACACGGUCCAGACUCCUACGGGAGGCAGCAGUGGGGAAUUUUGGACAAUGGGGGCAACCCUGAUCCAGCCAUGCCGCGUGAGUGAAGAAGGCCUUCGGGUUGUAAAGCUCUUUCGGCCGGGAAGAGAUCGCACGGGCUAAUACCCUGUGUGGAUGACGGUACCGGAAUAAGAAGCACCGGCUAACUACGUGCCAGCCGCCGCGGUAACAC
rnacentral:rRNA from 1 species